GGCUCGGUGGUGGAUGGUCCAUGUCUGUGCUGCUAUUCAACUUGAAUAGGUAUUGUAGGCAGAAGGAACCUGUUCGAUCCGGGUCCGAGCCA